UCAGGAGGAUAGCCCGGGGAAACUCGGAUUAAUACUCCAUAAGAUUUUGAUUGGCAUCGAUUAAAAUUGAAAGAUUUAUUGGAUAAGGAUAGGCAUGCGUCAGAUUAGUUAGUUGGUAGUGUAACGGACUACCAAGGCGAUGAUCUGUAGGGGGCCUGAGAGGGUGAACCCCCACACUGGUACUGAGACACGGACCAGACUCCUACGGGAGGCAGCAGUGAGGAAUAUUGGACAAUGGAGGGAACUCUGAUCCAGCCAUCCCGCGUGCAGGAAGACGGCCCUAUGGGUUGUAAACUGCUUUUGUAUGGGGAUAAAUCUACUUACGUGUAGGUAGUUGAAGGUACCAUACGAAUAAGCAUCGGCUAACUCCGUGCCAGCAGCCGCGGUAAUACGGAGGAUGCAAGCGUUAUCCGGAUUCAUUGGGUUUAAAGGGUCCGUAGGCGGGCUGAUAAGUCAGUGGUGAAAUUUUGUCGCUCAACGAUAAAACUGCCAUUGAUACUGUUAGUCUUGAGUGAUAUUGAAGUAGCUGGAAUGUGUAGUGUAGCGGUGAAAUGCAUAGAUAUUACACAGAACACCGAUUGCGAAGGCAGGUUACUAAGUAUUAACUGACGCUGAAGGACGAAAGCGUGGGGAGCGAACAGGAUUAGAUACCCUGGUAGUCCACGCAGUAAACGAUGCUAACUCGUUUUCGGGGAGAGAUCUUCGGAACCAAGCCGAAAAA
rnacentral:rRNA from 1 species